rnacentral:rRNA from 1 species
UAGGGAAUCUUCGGCAAUGGGGGCAACCCUGACCGAGCAACGCCGCGUGAGUGAAGAAGGUUUCGGUAUCGUAAAGCUCUGUUGUAAGAGAAGAACGUGUGUGAGAGUGGAAAGUUCACACAGUGACGGUAACUUACCAGAAAGGGACGGCUAACUACGUGCCAG